rnacentral:rRNA from 1 species
UUGGUGAGUGGCGGACGGGUGAGUAACACGUGGGUAACCUGCCCAAAAGUGGGGGAUAACAUUUGGAAACAAGUGCUAAUACCGCAUAACAACUGCUUUCACAUGAUCGCAGCUUGAAAGAUGGCUCUGCUAUCGCUUUUGGAUGGACCCGCGGCGUAUUAGCUAGUUGGUGAGGUAAUAGCUCACCAAGGCAAUGAUACGUAGCCGACCUGAGAGGGUAAUCGGCCACAUUGGGACUGAGACACGGCCCAAACUCCUACGGGAGGCAGCAGUAGGGAAUCUUCCACAAUGGGCGAAAGCCUGAUGGAGCAAUGCCGCGUGAGUGAAGAAGGUUUUCGGAUCGUAAAACUCUGUUGUUGAAGAAGAACAUGCGUGAGAGUAACUGUUCACGUACUGACGGUAUUCAACCAGAAAG